ensembl:lncRNA
CCCUUGUGAUUAUAUAACAGCUCUCAAGAGGAAGCUGCUAACAAGACCAUCUGACAUUUUUUUGCCAGCUGUUUUAGUGGAGGCGUGUUGGAUUAGACUGAGCUCCACCUUCUCUGAUGAGCAAAGCAUUUGGAAAAUGACAGAGCCUGAAGAAAAAGGAAUUUCAAAAUCUGGCUCCCCAUUUUCUCCUGAGCAGGUCUGCUCUUCUACAUGUGUGGACAAGUAGGCAAGAGUGGUCUACAAGCUCCUUCUCAGCAAGCCCGGCUGUUAGGAGUCAUGACUUCGCAUGAUGCAGUGACUCCUGCUAAGUUCCUAAAUGAAUGGAAGUGUAUACCAGAAGAUGAAUGCAACCUUCAAAACACCCUGUUCAGCUUUGUAGAGGGCUCUGGGAGAGUGGUUCUGUGGAGUCUGGAAAUGCUUAAAAAUAGCUUUGCUUGGGACACCACACAAUCUGCUGACAUUUUGGAACUCCGGGAUAAAAACAGAACAUUUCCAACAGCAAAGGUCUCCUGAAGUUGUUGAAAGAAGAUUAGAACAGUGGUUCUUCUUGCACGUUCUUUUCUUAAGUCAUUUUUCUUAAAAACUGAUUCCCUCCAACUGAAACACUGAAGGCAAACUUCCAUGGCCAGAGAAAUCACUUGUCAGAGAGACAAGACCAAUUACUUGUUAAAACAAAAACAGGUAAAUCCUACCAGGGCAGAUCCAUUGCCAUAAUGAGGAAUUUUGCCAGGUUAUACUUUUGUGUGUGUGUGUGUGUGUUUAUUUUUCUAAUGAUACUCUACAUCAGAAUUUCACAGGAUCACAGAAUGGCUGAGGUUGUAAGGGAUCUCUGAAGAUCACUUUGUCCAACCCCCUUACCGAGCAGAAUCACCUAGAGCAUGUUGUGCAGGAUGGCAUCCAGGCGGGUUUUGAAUAUCUCCAGAGGAGAUUUCCCAAACUGUCUGGGGAACCUGUCCCAGUGCUGUCACCCUCAUAGUAAAGAAAUGCCCUCUCAUACUCAGCAGGAACCUCCUGUGCUUCAGGUUGAGCCCGUUACCGCUUGUCCUCUUGCUGGGCACAACUGAAAAGAGACUGGCUCCAUCCUCUUGACACUCUCCUCUCAGAUAUUUAUACAUAUUGAUGAGGUCGCCCCUCAGUCUUCUCUUUUCCGGGCUAACCAGACCCAGUUCUCUCAUCCUGUCCUAUGACAGGUGCUCCAGUCCUCUAAUCAUCUUUGUAGCCCUCCUCUGAACUCUCUCCAGUAGUUCUAUGUCCCUCUUGCACUGGGGAGCCCAGAACUGGACACAAUACUCCAGGUGUGGCCUCACCAGGGCUGAGCAAAAGGUGAGGAUCACCAUCUCCCUUGACCUGCUGGCAACACUCUUCCGAAUGCACCCCAUUUCAUUAAAUGCUCAACUCUGCUGUCCUUGCCUGUUUUAGAUUACCUCCUAAAAUCUCUGCUUUCUUCACAUUCUGGUGUCUUAAUCUUGUAAAAAUUGUCUCAGCAUGACAUAAGUCUCACACAUAAACUGUUCCUGUUAAUGCUCAAAGAAUUAAAUGCAACUAAAGAUGAAGGUGAUUAUCUAACUACCUGCAGAAUAAUAAACAAACUGCAAUACUUUGAUAUAAGAAGAUU